CAUAUUUUACUGAUUUCAUGGAUUUAAAGCAGCGGUCCCCAAACUUAUUAGACAAUUGACACCUUCAUGGAAUUCUUGAUCCCUCAUCGACCCCCAGGCAUCCCAAAGCUUACUAUCUUCAUUCAGUGAAAUAAGAGUUUUUAAACAGAUUAAUUACAGGAAGAAAGAUAAGUGCCAUGACUUUUUCCAGUGUUUCUAAGAUUAAGGAAAUUGAAGUAAGACCACAAACCAGAGACCUGGUCCAAAUGCUUGCAACAAAACUAACCCUUCCAGAGGCAAUCAAAUACUAAGUAGUGGUAUUAAACCAGAAAUCAAUGAAGUCUACUUCCAAUCUCACCCUUUAUAUCCAAGCUUAAAUCUGAAAGAAUUGUUCACAGUUAGAAGCAGUUAGAUUAAUGUAAAAUAUAUGUGAAGUGUUUUUGAAUAAAAAUGAUAAGAUUGACUUA